rnacentral:rRNA from 1 species
ACACGACUACAUUAGACUACCCCGUACGUCCCAGCCGUAAACGAUGUGCGUUAGGUGUAUCGACGACCACGAGUUGUCGAGGUGCCGAAGGGAAACCGUAGAAACGUACCGCCUGGGAAGUACGGUCGCGAGGCUAGAAACUUAAAGGAAUUGGCGGGGAGCACCACAACAGGUGGAGCCUGCGGUUUAAUUGGACUCAACGCCGGACAUCUCACCGGAUAAGACAGCUGAAUGAUUGCCGGGCUGAAGACUCUGCAUGACUAGCUG